rnacentral:misc_RNA from 1 species
GAUGAAGAACGCAGCGAAAUGCGAUAAGUAAUGUGAAUUGCAGAAUUCAGUGAAUCAUCGAAUCUUUGAACGCACAUUGCGCCCCCUGGUAUUCCGGGGGGCAUGCCUGUCCGAGCGUCAUUACAACCCUCAAGCUCAGCUUGGUGUUGGGCCCCGCCGCCCCGGCGGGCCCUAAAGUCAGUGGCGGUGCCGUCCGGCUCCGAGCGUAGUAAUUCUUCUCGCUCUGGAGGUCCGGUCGUGUGCUCGCCAGCAACCCCCAAUUUUUUUCAGGUUGACCUCGGAUCAGGUAGGGAUACCCGCUGAACUUAAGCAUAUCAAUAAGAGGAGGA